UGGAGUAGGUGUUUAGAGACAUGGAAUUACUGUUUGGCACAGGACCAAAAAUUCUAUUCCUUUGUUUCACAGAGGUUUCAGAGUUCUGAGUUGGAGGAGAACAUUGUUUGGAAAUAUGUGGCAUUCACUUAUUCAUACUACUGCAGGUCCACCCAGGCAUGAUGGCUGGGUGCUCACAGAAAAUGAAAGAAGAUUUAACCGGCCAGAGUAAGCUGCUCUGCAAGCAAAAUCUAAACAGGUCCCUGUGAAGAUAGCAAUCCACUAUGGUUCUCCAUCCAACAUACAGGAACCAAGAAGCCUGUGCAACCAGGAGCCUGUGCAGUGCAAACUCAGAGUGAAAGCAGUUCCUCAGCUGCUGGUACCUUAGUGUCAGAUGCCUCUUCUCGCUGCUCCUCUUCAGGUUGGCCUCUUGAGGUAUGGGGAAGUG